rnacentral:rRNA from 1 species
CUACGGGCGGCACCAGUGGGGAAUAUUGCAUAAUGGGCGCAAGCCUGAUGCAGCAACGCCGCGUGGGGGACGACGGCCUUCGGGUUGUAAACCUCUUUUAGUAGGGAAGAAGCGCAAGUGACGGUACCUACAGAAAAAGCACCGGCUAACUACGUGCCAGCAGCCGCGGUAAUACGUAGGGUGCAAGCGUUGUCCGGAAUUAUUGGGCGUAAAGAGCUCGUAGGCGGUUUGUCGCGUCUGCUGUGAAAAUCCGAGGCUCAACCUCGGACUUGCAGUGGGUACGGGCAAACUAGAGUGCGGUAGGGGAGAUUGGAAUUCCUGGUGUAGCGGUGGAAUGCGCAGAUAUCAGGAGGAACACCAAUGGCGAAGGCAGAUCUCUGGGCCGUAACUGACGCUGAGGAGCGAAAGCGUGGGGAGCGAACAGGAUUAGAUACCCCCGUAGUC